AUUUUAGAUUCAGUGAAUAUUUACUUUCUGUCUCCAGAACCAAGACUACAUUCUAUUUGGAGCAACUGAACUGAAUUUGUUUCUAACUUCAUUUCACUUCAGAAGAUUACUUGGAGGAAGAGGAUGAAAAAGUGUUCAGAGGGAGAGUCUUGCUGCAGAUUUCUCUGCUGUCCUUGAGGAAUUCACUGAAGCUGCCUUUGUCUCCAUUUCCACAUUCAUAAAAAGUGAAGAUGAAACAUGUUUCUAAAAUUGCUCAAAGACCCCCAAGGGAAAGGUUCAGUGUGAAGUAUUAUUGGCAUCUUUAUGGAACAAACUGUGCAUUGCAGGAAUAGAAGCAAUAGGAAAAGGAGUACAACCAGAGAACCUGUGAUUUGAAGCUCAACAGCCAAAGAAAACACUCUCCCUAAUAUUAGACACUCUUUGAAAUUAUCCCACAAGGAUGUCUGAACCUGAGUUAUUUCAAGAUCUGAACAAAUGAGAUCUUCAAAUAAUUGCAUAUUGUUGAUCCGGUCCUCUCCACUCCAAUUUAAUCUGAAAGAGUUGAGUUUUCUCAUUCAACCGCUUUUCCUUUCUUUGGGAGGAGGUGGGGAAGGUGAGUGGGUUGGUGUUUGAACGUUCAUUUUUUUUUUUCAGAAGAAGGAACUGCUUUCCACACAAAUGGAUUAGGUGGACAAAACUUAAUAUUUAACACGUUCAAAAUAUUAACGUUCAUUUUGUGGUGUCAAUAUCGAUUGUUAUUUUAUAGAUGAGAAAACGAUCCAUCAUCGACAGAGGCUUUAGAUUGCUAGCUGCAAACCUAGACUUGGAGCCAAAAGCUUUUGAGUUUAAAUCUAUAAUUGGGACCGCCACUUUGCUCCUCAAUAAAUUGUAAGGCACU